CGUUAUGCCUGGUUGCGCUAGCCGUUACCUCGUUGUUACAACCAGAGACGAUUUUGGUGUAUUUUUCCAGUCUCUCUUCUGAUGCAGCCUCCAAAAUAAAUGUUUUUGAAGGGCUUCCUGCACUCCAGCUUGCUCCCUCUUUCUGGAUUUCUUACAUUCUGGUUUAAGAAAGCGGCUACUAUUCUAUGACAUGGCUGUCAGUUUCUCAUCUGAGCAGUCAUCCGAUAGGAAAUUAGCAGCGACUAAAAAUCAUCUGGUUUUGAGAAAUUCACCAUGAAUCGCCUCAAAGCAACAUCAUCAAAAGAAGUUGAAGUGUGUUCAGAGAAAAUAAACAUAAGUACUUAGCAGCUAUUGUUUUCCUAAAAAUUUUAUGUCUGACCGGAAAUUUUUUAAGAAAUUUGAAGUGGUGUGAAGUUCGAUUAGUUUACUUUAAUAUGCAUUGCUCUAUUCUAAAGGAGAAAAUAAAUGAAAGUGAAAGUGCUGUGUUCAAAGUAUCAUGAAUAGCAUCAUUGGUGUUUUUCUUCAGGUUUUAUUUUUGAUGAAGGAUCAGUUGAAUUUGGUGAGUCAUAUCUAUUAUAUUUUCCUUUUGCAUGCUAUUUUGCCACAGGAAACUGUCAAUAAAUUAAAUAAAAUUACCUAAUGCCCUUGUAA